rnacentral:rRNA from 1 species
AUUGAACGCUGGCGGCAUGCUUUACACAUGCAAGUCGGACGGCAGCACAGAGAAGCUUGCUUCUUGGGUGGCGAGUGGCGAACGGGUGAGUAAUAUAUCGGAACGUACCGAGUAAUGGGGGAUAACUAAUCGAAAGAUUAGCUAAUACCGCAUAUUCUCUGAGGAGGAAAGCAGGGGACCUUCGGGCCUUGCGUUAUUCUAGCGGCCGAUAUCUGAUUAGCUAGUUGGUGGGGUAAAGGCCUACCAAGGCGACGAUCAGUAGCGGGUCUGAGAGGAUGAUCCGCCACACUGGGACUGAGACACGGCCCAGACUCCUACGGGAGGCAGCAGUGGGGAAUUUUGGACAAUGGGCGCAAGCCUGAUCCAGCCAUGCAGCGUGUGUGAAGAAGGCCUUCGGGUUGUAAAGGACUUUUGUCAGGGAAGAAAAGGCUGUUGCUAAUAUCAAUAGCUGAUGACGGUACCUGAAGAAUAAGCACCGGCUAACUACGUG